rnacentral:rRNA from 1 species
AGAGUUUCGAUCCUGGCUCAGGAUGAACGCUGACACAAUGCUUACCACAUGCUCCUCCGCUUGAAUUUGGGUUUUUAUCUUAUAUUUGGGUGGCGGACGGGUGAGUAACCCGUAAACAACUUGCCUCACAGCUAGGGACAACAUUUAAAAAUGAAUGCUAAUACCUGAUAUUAUGGUUAUAGGGCGUCCUAUAAUUAGGAAAGCUAUAUGCACUGUGAGAGAGCUUUGCGUCCCAUUAGCUACUUGGAGAGGUAACAUCUCACCCAGGCGAUGAUGGGUACCCGGCCUGAAAGGGUGAACGGCCACAUCGGGACUGACACCCGGCCCUUACUCCUACGGCAGGCAUCAGUGGGGAAUAUUGGACGAUGGACCGAGAGUCUGAUCCAUCCAUUCUGUGUGCACGAUGAAGUUUUUCGGAAUGUAAAGUGCUUUCAGUUGGGAAGAAAUAAAUGACGGUCCCGACAGAAGAAGAGACGGCUACAUACUUGCCACCUUCCGCGGUAAUACGUAUGUCGCAAGCGUUAUCCGGAUUUAUUGGACGUAAAGCGCGUCUACGUGCUUAUGUAAGUCUGAUGUGAAAAUGCUUGGCUCAACUCUGUAUUGCGUGGGAUCCUGUGUAACUAUACUACUGGAGAGGUAAGCGGAACUACAAGUGUAGAGGUGAAAUUCGUAGAUAUUUGUAGGAAUUACCGAUGGGGAAUACCAGGUUACUGGACACAUACUGACUCUCAGGCGCGAAAGCGUGAGUAGUCAAAUAGCCAUUAGAUACCCCUGGCCAUUCCACGCCGUAGAUCGAUCAUUACUACGACGUUGUGGGUCGAACCUCGCGCACUACCACACGCGAUGAGUAAUCCGCCUCGUGAGUUCGUACGCGAGUAUGCACACUCUAAGCACUUGACAGGUCACCAUGCACCAGUAGCGGAGCAUCGUGCUUUAUCUCGAAGCCACGCGAAUGCACCUUACCUCAUGCUUGACAUCCCUCGGACAGGUGUUUAAUCACACCCUUCUUUCGGGAUUGAGGUGUCAGGUCGUGCAUGGUUGUCGUCAGUUCGUGUCGUGAGAUGAAGGGUUAAGUACCGCAACGAGCGCAACCCUUGUCUUUACUUGCCAGCAUUCAGUUGGGCACUCUAGAGAGAAAUUCCAGGGAUAACCUGGAGGAAGGUGGGGAUGACGUCAAAUCAUCAUGCCCCUUAUGGGUAGGGUUACACACGUGCUACAAUGGGUGGUACAGAGGGUUGCCAAACCGUGAGGUGGAGCCAAUCCCUUAAAGCCAUUCUCAGUUCGGAUUGUAGGCUGAAACUCGCCUACAUGAAGCUGGAGUUUAUAGUAAUCGCAGAUCAGAAUGCUGCGGUGAAUGCGUUCCCGGGUCUUGUACACGCCGCCCGUCACACCACGAGACUUGGUUGCACAUGAAGUAGCAGGCCUAACCGUAAGGAGGGACGCUCCGAGGGUGUGAUUAGCGAUUGGGGUGAAGUCCUAACAAGGUAACC